AUUGAACGCUGGCGGCAGGCUUAACACAUGCAAGUCGAGCGGGGGAAGGUAGCUUGCUACCGGACCUAGCGGCGGACGGGUGAGUAAUGCUUAGGAAUCUGCCUAUUAGUGGGGGACAACAUCUCGAAAGGGAUGCUAAUACCGCAUACGUCCUACGGGCGAAAGCAGGGGAUCUUCGGACCUUGCGCUAAUAGAUGAGCCUAAGUCGGAUUAGCUAGUUGGUGGGGUAAAGGCCUACCAAGGCGACGAUCUGUAGCGGGGCUGAGAGGAUGAUCCGCCACACUGGGACUGAGACACGGCCCAGACUCCUACGGGAGGCAGCAGUGGGGAAUAUUGGACAAUGGGGGGAACCCUGAUCCAGCCAUGCCGCGUGUGUGAAGAAGGCCUUAUGGUUGUAAAGCACUUUAAGCGAGGAGGAGGCUACUUUAGUUAAUACCUAGAGAUAGUGGACGUUACUCGCAGAAUAAGCACCGGCUAACUCUGUGCCAGCCGCCGCCGUAA
rnacentral:rRNA from 1 species